rnacentral:rRNA from 1 species
UACGGAGGGUGCAAGCGUUGUCCGGAAUCACUGGGCGUAAAGGGCGCGUAGGUGGCGCGGGGAGUCAACGGUGAAAGUUCGGGGCUCAACCCUGAAUCGGCCGUCGAUACUCCCGUGCUUGAGCACUGUAGAGGCAGAUGGAAUUCCGGGUGUAGCGGUGGAAUGCGUAGAGAUCCGGAAGAACACCGGUGGCGAAGGCGAGUCUCUGGACAGCAACUGACGCUGAGGCACGAAGGCCAGGGGAGCAAACGGG